CUCCAACCCACUGAUGUUCCUCCCCUCAGAGAGGCGUGUGGUUCUGACAAAAGGGGGACCCUCCUUCCACACAAGGCUAUAACUCUUCGGUGGGGAAUUCUGAGGCAAGUUCAAGCAGAGACAGACCGAAAAGCAUGGCAUGUUAAUCUAAAACUGCAGAGCACCACUCCUGAAUGGGGAUGAAGGAGAACCUGUGUGAAUAAAGGAUACAGUAUGAGACAAGAAGACACCA
rnacentral:lncRNA from 1 species